rnacentral:rRNA from 1 species
UACAGAGGUCUCAAGCGUUGUUCGGAUUCAUUGGGCGUAAAGGGUGCGUAGGCGGCGCGGUAAGUCGGGUGUGAAAUCUCGGGGCUUAACUCCGAAACUGCAUUCGAUACUGCCGUGCUUGAGGACUGGAGAGGAGACUGGAAUUUAUGGUGUAGCGGUGAAAAUGCGUAGAGAUCAUAAGGAAGACCAGUGGCGAAGGCGGGGUCUCUGGACAGUUCCUGACGCUGAGGCACGAAGGUCAGGGGGAGCAAAACGGGG